AGGUGGACCGCAGCGUCCUGGCUCAGUGCCAGCGGGGCGGCCGGCCCAACAACGUCCUGAGCGACGACGCCAUGCCCGCCUGCGGCAGCAGCGACGACUCCGAGCCGGACGAGCUGCUGUGGGUGGAAAACGAGACGAGCGCGACGUCCUCCAGGUCCAGCAGCCAAAGUUUCAGGGGUCGAGGCCGCGGGCGGAGGCUGCCCGAGAGGGUGUGGCGGUCUCUGAACCCGACUCUGCUCCGAAACGUCGAGUACGACAUCUGGCACAAGAGCA